GACUUGGCCUCUACAGCCAUCCAUGGCAAUGAAUUCCACAGAUUCAACAUCGUCUGGCUAAAGAAAUUACUUCUCAGCCCUGUUCUCAAUGGUUACGGUUACGGUUCUGUAAUGGAUCCCGCAACCCUCUUGGUCAUAGUGUACCAGACUGGCUGACUAUUUCCAGCAUUUUCUGGUUUUAGUUUGGAUUUCCAACAUCUGAAGCUUCUUUGGUAUUCAAACCUCUGCCAGCCAAGUACAUCUCCUGGUCUUCAUGUGUGGCUUUACUAAGUCCGGUGGAACCGUUUCUACUGACAGGAGAAGGGGGAAAGAAGGGAUACCGGCACCUUAAAACCAGUCACUUUGGACAGAUGGGGCUCAUCAGUGGAUGGCAGUUCAUCUAGGAGAAGGAAAACUCUGAUCUCAAAUCUUCACUGCCUUGCGGAUAUACCCACUCAUGGGGAAGGCUUGGGGAGCAAAUCCCAAAGAAAAAUCCGGAGGUGGAAUCUCUAAGGUAGUCCUAGUUGAGUUCAAUGCUGACUGGCAGCUCCUAUGAUGCUGCUGGUGUCAAACUGUAUUGGUCUCUGCUGUUCCUUUGGAUUCAUCAGCUGCAUGAACAGGGGGAGCCUGAUGUAUGGGCAACAACUUAUAUCGUACUGCCCGGGCUUAUGUAUUGACUUUGAAGCUAGGACACAAUAUUCAUGGACGAACCCAACCAACAGAAGCCAUCAUUAUCUAAAAUCUGUUAAAAAAAAUACAUAAAAUCCUUGUGGUGUCCUCAGUGUGCAUUGGAUAAGAUCUAAGGAGGAUGAGUUACAUUUAUGUUUCACUUUUAAAAGUUUUGGUAGCUUGAAAGUAUCUUGCAGCUAGACCUUGCUUUUAGAGAACAAUUAAAACCAGUAAUUUGCUUAUUAUUACACUGGAUGCAUUCAACACAUUGGGCUGAAGACAUUUCGUAGCAGAACAAUCCUUUCAGUCCCUUCCUCUCUCUGAUACUGUAUAUGUAUAAAACUGUAAUACAUUUCCUCGCAAAUACCAGCCUCAGAAUACAAGGACUUCUCUUUAGAAGAGAGAUAAGAAGGGAUUUCUUCAGCCAGAGGGUGGUGAAUGCUUGGAAUUCAUUGCCAUGGACAGCUGGGGAAGCCAAGUCAUUUGGUAUACUUAAAGUGGAGACUGAGAGAUUCUCCAUUAGUAAGGAUGUCAAGGAUUACAGGGAGAUGGCAGGAGAGUGAGGUUGAUUCAGAAAAUAAAUCAGCCAUGAUCAAGUGAUGGAGCAGUGUCAAUGGGCUGAAUGCUUCAAUUCUGCUCCUAUGUCUUGGCUGGAAUAAAGUAUCUUCAGCUCCUAUUUGAAUCUCUUGUUAUUAUUUCUUAUGAAGGCUAAGUUACAGAAUUCAUUAAUCUACAACAUAUCAUGAGGAUAGGGGAGGAAGUAACAUGAUACACUUGCACAGGGAGAACAUGCAGAUUCCACACAGGCAGCAGUCAAGGUCAGGAUCAAUUCUAGGCUGCAGGAGCUGUGACCUUUUUAUGUCUCUAACCCAUAGUGAUUUCUCCUUUCAGUAAAAAAAUCCCCCUCCCCUCUUCUUCUGUUUCCCACUCUAGCCUCCUAUCUCUUCUCACCCGCCUAUCACCUACCCCUGUGGUGCACCUCCUCCUUCCCUUUCUCCUAUGGUCCACUCUCCUUUCCUAUCAGAUUCCUUCAUCUCUAGUCCUUUAUCUUUCCUACCCUCCUGGGUUCACCUAUCGCUGUCUAGCUAUUCUCCUUCCUAUCAACCCUCCUUUUUUUUAAUUCUGGCAUCUUCCCCUUCCUUUCCAGUUUUGAAGAAGGGUCUCAGCCCAAAACAUCAACCGUCUGUUCAUUUCCAUGGAUGCCGCCUGACCCGCUGAGUUCCUCCAGCUUUUGUGUAUAUGUCACUUUUUAUGACUGUCAGAGAGGCAAGUUUAAGUUCCUUACAGAGUCUCAAUCAUGGUCAAGAUUAUGAUCACCGACACCCAUGCCCAAACUGAUGGUGAUGAUCACUGAUAAGUCAUGAAAUGUAAAACAUAAAAAGUCGCUGUAAGUUAUGUUAAAUGAACUUACUCACUGGCGUUUAGGGCAGUGAUGAAGGUCUUCUAUCUCUAGCAGUGUCCAGGGCUUUCUUUAUCAUGUCCGUAGUUUCCCCUCAAUUUUCACUACUGUCAGUUUUGUAAGUCCCAGCCAGACACUCAGGAAUAGCAUCACACUCAGAUGUAGAGAAUUCUUCAUUGCCAUUUCCAUAACAAUUUUGUUUUACCAGUCAGUGUUGUUAGCCCUGAGGUGAACCCCCGACCAGUGGACCACUCUUAGUCUGGCCUCUAUCCUUUGUCUUGUUUGGCUUGGGUGACCCUACCAAAAGCCAAAGCACAAGACCCUGACUCCAAUCAACACAGCUCUGUGGGUGAUUGAGGGACGCAAGCUUCUAACCCUAUGGCAAUGUUGUGGUCCUCUUGGAAGUAUGAUAACUGAAUGAAUGAAUAAAUAGAUAAGGAUAGAUAGAUUAACAAAUGAGCAAAAAUAGAUAGAUAAAUAAAUAGAGUGAAAGAGGAAAGCCACCUUAACAAUGCGCCAUUAUUGUACACCAGUGAAGAAAAAAAAGAUUGACAAAACACGAUAUUACUACAGAAACAAACACAAUCAGAGACAUCGACAGUAGUGCAAGAGGUCCGUAGUUUCCCAUUGCUGAUGUACAUGUAGGGUUGUACAGAUCGGUUCAAGAAGCUGAUGAUUGUAAGAAAGUAUCUGUUCCUGAACCUGGUAAUGUGGGUCUUCAGGCUUCGGUGCCCCUUGCAGAAUGACGGCAGUGAGAAGAGGGCAUGACUCAGAUGGUGGGGAUUCUUGAAGGUGGAUGUGGCCUUCGCAGGGCAGCGUCUUGAGUAGACACGUCUCAUGUCGUUCCUUAUUAAUUACCUGGUAUGGCUGCUGAAGGCAGUGUUUCUGUAGCGUUUGGAAUUUCUCCUUGUAUUUAAUGUUGUGGAAUGAAUUCUUCAUUAAGCUCCCACCAUCCAGCCUGAUCUGAAUGCGACCUGCCAUGGCCUAAUGAGGCAAAGGGAUAUUCACUGUGUAAUGAGAAGUACUGGGGGGGGGGGGGGGGGGUGACAGUGCACGUUUAAUUGACAGCGAGAGACGCAAAAAAGCACUUUGCCUCGAAAGGUAACUGGGGAGGAUCCAUUACGGUUCCGUGCUAGCACUUGUUGCAGGCUACGUCAAGAGCUUGGGUUCUGGAUGACUAAAGUAGCGUGGCAUUUAACAGUAACAUUCAAAGCAAGAUUUCACAUCCUGGCUAAGGCGCUACCUUUAUUUAUGUGCUACUUACUGGUGGCAGGUGCGAAUGCCGAGUUAACAUAACUUGUUCGCGCUGUUCCCUGGGCUCACCAAAAUACAAAUUUAGCACUCAAUGCAUUACUUCACAGUUAAGGGUUAUCUUGCAACUUUGCGCACCCGGUACUGAUUCUAAUCUCCUGCGUUACAUUCUAUGAUAAUAGUCCAAACACCUAUCGGAAUGUUUCACUUUAAAGCACAUAGUAAUGUCGGUUUGCCUCUAUAAUUAACGAUCUGUUAAUGAAUUUGCGUUCUCCGAAAUUGUAACCUACAUUUUUCGAUCGGAGUUAAAUUCCAGAUACGACCACGAGUCUGAAAUCAUUGCCAAUUUACUUUCCCGAGGUCCUGUGUCAAAUCCGCGACUCUCAGGAAUACCGACGACGGGAAUUUCUACGAAUGAGAGCAGUCGAACUGGUUGCAUCGCCGUCUGGUAUCAGGAGUCACUGCACAGGAUCGAAAAAAAAGCAGCAGAAAGUUGCAAACUCAACCAGCUCCAUCGUCAGUACUAGCUUCCCCAGCAUGGAGGACAUCUUCAAAAGGCGAGCGACGCCUCAAAAAAGCGGCACCCAUUAGCAAGGACCCCCACAAAGGACAUGCUUUCUCAUUGCUUUCUUCCGAGAAGAGGUACAGGAGCGUGAAGACACCGAGUCAACGUUUCCUCGGCCAUUAGAUUUCUGAAUGGACAUUGAACCCAUGAAUACUACAUCACUGUUAUUUUUCUUUUUUUUUGCUCAAUUUUACAAUACUUAUUUAAUUUAUAUAUAUCUUACUGUAAUUUAUAGAUUUUAUUAUGUAUUGCAAUGUACUGCUACCGCAAAACAAUAAAUAUGACGACAUAUGCCAGUGAAACUGAUACUGAUUCUUUUUUUUAAGUUAAACAUUGGAAGGUGUAUCUGUAUUGCGCCAUCUCGUUAACGGAAGAGCUAUUCGCUGCGAGGAUUCGUGGAAGCUUUGAAAAGUUCAACUUGAGAAAAUGCAAUUUCGUUAGCUAGUGUUCGGUUAUGAAAGAAAAUAGCCUCUUUUUUUUCUUGGAGAAAACCCUUACACACGGGAAAUUUCAAAUGGCUGCAUUUAUAAUGGAAUGACGAGGUGACAUGUGUAAGGCAAGGUUUUCCUGUGGGUAG